GGGAAUGUGGCUUAGUGGUAGAGUGCUUGCCUAGCAUGCAUGAAGCCCUGGGUUCAAAUUCCUCAGUACCA
rfam:Dipodomys ordii contig_46203, whole genome shotgun sequence.